GCCCCCGUAUCUCGGUCCACAACGUAUUCGACUUCUAAUCGAAAGACUGCGGGUUCGAGUCCCGCCAGGAACG